AAAUUGAAGAGUUUGAUCAUGGCUCAGAUUGAACGCUGGCGGCAGGCCUAACACAUGCAAGUCGAACGGUAACAGGAAGCAGCUUGCUGCUUUGCUGACGAGUGGCGGACGGGUGAGUAAUGUCUGGGAAACUGCCUGAUGGAGGGGGAUAACUACUGGAAACGGUGGCUAAUACCGCAUAACGUCGCAAGACCAAAGAGGGGGACCUUCGGGCCUCUUGCCAUCAGAUGUGCCCAGAUGGGAUUAGCUUGUUGGUGAGGUAACGGCUCACCAAGGCGACGAUCCCUAGCUGGUCUGAGAGGAUGACUAGCCACACUGGAACUGAGACACGGUCCAGACUCCUACGGGAGGCAGCAGUGGGGAAUAUUGCACAAUGGGCGCAAGCCUGAUGCAGCCAUGCCGCGUGUAUGAAGAAGG
rnacentral:rRNA from 1 species